rnacentral:rRNA from 1 species
ACGCUCGACACCUACGGGGGCAGCAGUGGGGAAUAUUGGGCAAUGGGCGCAAGCCUGACCCAGCAACGCCGCGUGAAGGAAGAAGGCCCUCGGGUUGUAAACUUCUUUUGUCAGGGACGAAGCAAGUGACGGUACCUGACGAAUAAGCCACGGCUAACUACGUGCCAGCAGCCGGCGGUAAUCUGAGGCGGGCUGGCAAGGC